UGUUAGGAUCCAUAGAUCCCAACGUGUUCCCACAAGAAAUCCAAAAUACCGAAAUGGAAGAAAAUGACUUAGUCAACCGCACAUGCACCAACCAUCCCCACAAAAUCGGUCCACCAUAUCCACAUUCAGCCAAUUCCACUGUGCAACAACUCUCCACAACAGUAGUGGACCAUUAUCCCUUAUCUCUUUCUUUGGAAAUCAUGUUCGUAGAAGUAGGAAGUAGUUAUUAGCUUGUAAUCCCUCUUUGACUAUUUAAAGCCUCGACAUAUGAAUGAAAAGCAAAUAGAAAAUCAUUCCAAAUUCUGGGUUCUUUUCUCACCUUAAGCAGAAAGAUUUUUAUUUCCUUCAAGUUUUGAUUGGGACCUAACAUUGGUAUUAGAGUUAUGUCUAAUAAGAAGAGGAUUGAACAACUCGAAGCAAGUGUUGGGAGGCUACAACAUAGCUUCAGUAAAAUAGAGUUGGGAGUUGCGGAUAAGCUACACCAGAUGGAGGACACCCUUAAACGGUUGACAGAGGCGUUGCUAACUAACCAAGAGGAUUCCAGCAGCAACAACCCAGUUUGAACGGGGUCAGCAUAGCCUUUCCGUGAGGAAGGACCCGGUUGAAAUGAAGGGGGCGAUCCGACCGAAUAGAUUAGCCGAAUGGAGUAAUUCUUUGAUUACCAAGCCACUGCCGAUGAACAGAAAGUGCAGCUGGCGUCUUUCCACUUGGAGGGCGAAGCCAACUAGCAGUGGCAAUGUCUUCACCGAACUUAUCAAGAAGAAGGGAAGCUGGUGACGUGGACCAGGUUUGUAGAAGAACUUCGGCUCCGCUUUGGGCCAACAGAGGUGGAAGACUUUGAUGAGACAUUGUUUAAAAUUAGGUAGGUCGACCCAUUGAGAGAGUACCAAAAAGAGUUCGAAUGGCUUGGCAACCGAGUCCACGGUUGGACCCAUAAGGCUUUAAUUGGAACCUUCAAGGGCUCAACCCGAAAUAACAGAUGGGAUAAGGAUGUUCAAGCCUAGGACCCUGAAGGAUGUGAUAAGCCUAGCCCGUAUGCGUGAGGAGCAGUUGGGCCGUUAAAGUAGGCUGGACUGGGUGGGACAGACUCAACCCGACCCACCAGCACGCUCUCUAUUUGACUAGACCCCGCGAGAUCUAGCAGCAACAGUCGCCGCUCGCAAAUAGUUAUCCUAGGAAUAAGCACAACGUCAGCGAGCACAAGGUUUGUUCUUCCACUGUGACCAAAAGUUUACAUUCGGCCACAGAUGCCGUUGAUCCCAACUAUUACUUCUGGAAGUCGACAAAGAGGAAGAGGGUGGCGAAUCGGUGAAGCCUGGCUGAGCAGAGAGACAAGAGCACCUGAAUCUUGAGGACAAGGUUGCUAACAAAGGGGAGAGUGAUGUUAGGAUUCGUAGAUCCCAACGUGUUCCCACAAGAAACCCAAAAUAUCAAAAUUGAAGAAAAUGACCCAGUCAACCGCACGUGCACCAACCAUCCCUACAGAACCGGUCCACUAUAUCCAUAUUCAACCAAUUCCACUCUGCAGAAGCUCUCCACAACAAAAGUGGACCAUUAUCCCUUAUCUCUUUCUUUGAAAAUCAUGUUCGUAGAAGUACGAAGUAGUUGUUAGCUUGUAAUCCCUCUUUGGCUAUUUAAAGCCUCGAUAUGUGAAUGAAAAGCAAGUAGAAAAUCAUUCCAAA